rnacentral:lncRNA from 1 species
GCGAAGCCCUUUUCCCUAUUCCUGGAGCUGUGUUCCACCUGCCGCCUGGCACUCAGGCCCCACCCUUCCUGCUCUUGGUGCCUCAAGUAGUCUCCACCAACCCUGUGGUGUGGCCAGCCCCAUGCUGCUCAAGCUGCAGCAAAAGAGGAAGCAGACACUGCUCUCAAGAGUGUUGCAGCUUGAUCGGUAAAACAGCUACUUCUGUUGAAGAAUCUACCAGCCAUCGUGCCUCUUUGGGUACCUAUAGUCUUCCAUUUAUUUGAUAAUAAUAAACACAAACUUCAAGAGGAUGGUUUCUUCUUGGAGGGUGGGUGGGAAGAUCGGGGAGAGAAGAGGGUAAGAGCAUACAUUCUAAACUUUUGGGUUUUUAGAUUGGGUGGUCAGUUAAUGGAAAUUCAUUACAUUAUUGAAAAUAAAUUAUAAUUAAACAAUUAAAGAAAGCCAUGAUGGGUCAGUGAUGGCACUAGAGUACGAACCAAAGAUUAUGGUUCAGUUCUGAGCACUGCAAGAAAUUAUUACAAAGACAAAGAGCAUUUGCUGCACGCCAGGCAGGGUCCUAAGUGCUUUUGGUGAGGUGAGAUGGCAGAAUGAAGAGAGACUAGUCCUUGGCCUGGGGUGGGGGGUUGCUCUAUAGAGAGGUGAGGUCUGAACUGGGCUUCGAAGAAUGAUCAGAAAUCCUGGGCUAGAAGAGGAGGGAUUUGGGGUACUGGGCAGUGUUCAGAAGUGUUUGGGGGGCCCCUGUGGCCUGCCUCAUUUCUACCUAUUUUGGGCCCCAAGUUGGAGAUUCUUUUAAUCUGGCCGAAGAGCAGGACCAGCCUGGCAGCCAGGAGGCAGGAGACUCCGGCUUUGCAGAGGCCUCCCAGCCUCCCUCUCUACCCCCACUCCAGAGAGAGCAGCAGCAAGGAUGUGGUUCUCCCCAGUUUAGAGACAGAAAAACUGAGGCUUUGCUUUUGAUUAGAACUGAAAGGACCAGCCAAGGUCACCCAGACACUGGUGGGGGAUGGUAGUCAGGAACCCCACUCCUAAUUUUCUCCCCGUCUAGGCCUGCCAAGAGUGGUACUCCUGGGGCUCUGGGGCUGGGGGCCUGACCAGGAAUGGCCUGGCUGUGAGCACUGUGCUUUAUCUCCCUUGUGGGCCAACAUGUCCCAGCACAGUGUGUAUGUGUGGAAAGGUCUCAGUGGCUGCUCCCCCAGUCUCUCUAGAGCGCAUCUCCCCCAACCUCUCAGGCCUGCUUAGUCUAGGAGGCUAGGGCAGCAGGUUCAGGGGGUGGGGAGCCAUUGCUCCUUCUCUAGCAGCAGGACUGAAGAUGCAAGCCAGGUGCCUAGGAAGCAAACUUUAAUGAAGCACUCAUUCUCAGGGCUGUGCGAGCGCUCCGCUCCCGACACAGAGCCUCACAUUUUGUGCCCUGGCCACCUUGCCUGCCUCACUGUGGUCCUUGCCCUGCCCUGCAGCUCUGCCUCAGUCCCCGGGGCUCGGGGCUCUCACCCAGCUACCCUCCUUGGCAUCUGAGCUUUCUGCCUCUGCAGCCACGCCCCUGCCAUCUUCCUGCCUGGGAAGAUAAUGCGAUUGGGCACUGGUUCCAGGCCGUCUGGCUCCAGGGUGCAAGUGGGCCCUGUGCACUCAGCAGCCACCAGUAGGGCCCUUCUACCUCCUGACUUGCUGGUUGUUCACCUCCCCAGACCAAGGACCCCUGAGACACCAGCUCCUGUGCCUGUCCUAACCUCCCCCGAGAGCUGCUUCCUCCUUGCCUGUGAGAAGGCCUUAGCAGCAUGAGCCCAGCUGCUCUACCUUCUCCUCCCCUUCCUCCAGCAAGAAACUCCUGAGGCUGAGCCUCAUAACUUAUAUGAGGUCAGAGCAGCCCUCGAAGGUCCUGGCCAGCAGCCGGUGGAUUCAGAGCGGGGAGCCCUCUCAGAGUUUUCCAUCCUUCAGCCAACAAGUGAAGACCUGCUGUCUACACCACUGGGGCCGAGGGAGUGAACUUGCAGCUCCAGAAGCAGCACACACACAGGAGGUGUUGCUGUGGACCAGGAGGACUGCACACACGUUCAGAGCAGGAGAUAAAGGGGUCGAGGAAGGCCUCCGGGAUGAAGGGCCUUGAGCAGGACCCUGAGAACACAUUGGAUUUAGGACCCUGGCUGAUAUACCUGCUGUGUGAGCCCCUCUCCAUGGCCCAAUCUCUCGCCCCGCCUGAUGUCCUGGUAUUACUGCUGUCAUCGUCACCACCAGCCCCUUCACACCCCCAACUUUUAGUGAG